AUUGAACGCUGGCGGCAGGCCUAACACAUGCAAGUCGAGCGAGCGGCGGACGGGUGAGUAAUGUAUGGGGACUGCCCGAUAGAGGGGGAUAACUACUGGAAACGGUGGCUAAUACCGCAUACUAUCGGAUAACCCAUAUGGGAUUAGCUAGUAGGUGGGGUAAAGGCUCACCUGGGCGUCGAUCUCUCGCUGGUCUGAGAGGAUGAUCAGCCACACGGUGACUGGGACACGGCCCAGACUCCUACGGAGGCAGCAGUGGGGAAUAUUGCACAAUGGGCGAAAGCUUGCUGCAGCCAUGCGGCGUGUAUGAAGAAGCCCUUAGGUUUGUAAAGUACUUUCAGCGGGGAGGCGUUACCCGCAGAAGAAGCACCGGCUAACUCCGUGCCAGCCGCCGCGGUAAUUC
rnacentral:rRNA from 1 species